rnacentral:rRNA from 1 species
AGAGUUUGAUCAUGGCUCAGGACGAACGCUGGCGGCGUGCUUAACACAUGCAAGUCGAACGGGAAGACAUUUCUAACACCGAGUAGUUGAGGUGUGAUUAACACUUGGCUAUUGGGUGUUAGAAAUGGAUUCUAGUGGCAAACGGGUGAGUAACGCGUAGGCAACCUGCCCUUCAGAUGGGGACAACAUUUCGAAAGGAAUGCUAAUACCGAAUGACGUGCAUUCGGUCGCACGACCGAUGUACCAGAGGCCGGGCAACCGGUCACUGAAGGAUGGGCCUGCGUCUGAUUAGCUAGUUGGUGGGGUAACGGCCCACCAAGGCGACGAUCAGUAGCCGGUCUGAGAGGAUGAACGGCCACAUUGGGACUGAGACACGGCCCAAACUCCUACGGGAGGCAGCAGUGGGGAAUCUUCCGCAAUGGGCGCAAGCCUGACGGAGCAACGCCGCGUGAGUGAAGAAGGUUUUCGGAUCGUAAAGCUCUGUUGUCAGGGACGAGAGACUUGAUCAGGAAAUGGGUCAAGGAGGACGGUACCUGACGAGGAAGCCACGGCUAACUACGUGCCAGCAGCCGCGGUAAUACGUAGGUGGCGAGCGUUGUCCGGAAUUAUUGGGCGUAAAGGGAGCGCAGGUGGGAUUGUAAGUCAGUCUUAAAAGUUCGGGGCUCAACCCCGUGAUGGGAUUGAAACUAUAAUUCUUGAGUGCAGGAGAGGAAAGCGGAAUUCCUAGUGUAGCGGUGAAAUGCGUAGAUAUUAGGAGGAACACCAGUGGCGAAGGCGGCUUUCUGGACUGUAACUGACACUGAGGCUCGAAAGCGUGGGGAGCGAACAGGAUUAGAUACCCUGGUAGUCCACGCCGUAAACGAUGAAUGCUAGGUGUAGGAGGUAUCGACCCCUUCUGUGCCGGAGUUAACGCAAUAAGCAUUCCGCCUGGGGAGUACGGUCGCAAGACUGAAACUCAAAGGAAUUGACG